CAGCAGCCACGGGAAUACAGAGGGUGCGAGCGUUAAUCGGAUUUACUGGGCGUAAAGCGUGCGUAGGCGGCUUCUUAAGUCGGAUGUGAAAUCCCUGAGCUUAACUUAGGAAUUGCAUUCGAUACUGGGAAGCUAGAGUAUGGGAGAGGAUGGUAGAAUUCCAGGUGUAGCGGUGAAAUGCGUAGAGAUCUGGAGGAAUACCGAUGGCGAAGGCGGCCCCCUGGACAAAGACUGACGCUCAGGUGCGAAAGCGUGGGGAGCAAACAGGAUUAGAUACCCCUGUAGUCCCUGUCUCUUAUAC
rnacentral:rRNA from 1 species